rnacentral:rRNA from 1 species
GAUGAACGCCGGCCGCGUGCCUAAUCCAUGCAAGUCGAGCGAACAGACGAGGAGCUUGCUCCUCUGACGUUAGCGGCGGACGGGUGAGUAACACGUGGAUAACCUACCUAUAAGACUGGGAUAACUUCGGGAAACCGAAGCUAAUACCGGAUAAUAUAUUGAACCGCAUGGUUCAAUAGUGACAGACGGUUUUGCUGUCACUUAUAGAUGGAUCCGCGCCGCAUUAGCUAGUUGGUAAGGUAACGGCUUACCAAGGCAACGAUGCGUAGCCUACCUGAGAGGGUGAUCGGCCACACUGGAACUGAGACACGGUCCAGACUCCUACGGGAGGCAGCAGUAGGGAAUCUUCCGCAAUGGGCGAAAGCCUGACGGAGCAACGCCGCGUGAGUGAUGAAGGUCUUCGGAUCGUAAAACUCUGUUAUUAGGGAAGAACAAAUGUGUAAGUAACUAUGCACGUCUUGACGGUACCUAAUCAGAAAGCCACGGCUAACUACGUG